GACCAUGUACGUUCUUUCUGAAGCUGUGUGCUUGAUCGAAGAGGACAAGCUUCAUUGAAAAAGAUGGACCAACCUUUGUUUGAGGUUAUAUUAAUAGUUGCACUCCCCUGCUAGAUCCUCCAUACAAACUUUCAAGGUUAAAAUGAAUCCAAUCAGAUGUGACUCUUUGAAAGAAUGGCUUUUUU
rnacentral:snRNA from 1 species